rnacentral:lncRNA from 10 species
UUCAGUAGCAAGGAUGAUAGCUACCUGGCCCUAUGUCAGAGAUCAGCCAGGCAGCUGAAAAAGUUUAGGAUUGAAGCUGACAGACAGAUAACAGCAGGGGAACUAUUGUUACUGUGGCUAUUUUAUUAAAAGUCUUAAGUCCUUGGCUUCACUUUCCUAAUGGAGCUGGCAGUGAGGAUUUUUUCACUAAUCUAAUUACCAAACAAGACUGAUGUUGGGUAAAUCCUUACUAUUUACAGAACUGGUAAGCAACUGCAGCUCUAGGAAUUUCUCUGAAGUUUUCUUCUGAAUUUUUCUGAACAGCAUUGAUCAUCAUUUACUUAUCUAAGAAGACCAAAUUGCAGAGAAGUUGGAAAUCAGAUCUUUUCAUUCUUAUCUCCUAGAGGGGUCUCAUAGGUCUCCUGGCAAGAAGCAGUCAGACUCUGAGUGGUUUUGGCAUUGAGGUUCUUGGGUGGAAGAUGUGCUGCCAGCUAGGAGCAGUGAAAGCAUAAGAGGAUGAAAACUUCUAGGAGCCAGCCUCAGCCUCGGUCCCCACCAUUGGCAGCUUCCAGAUGGCUUCUGCAGGCUGUGGAGGCAAAGGCCUUCAUUCUCAUCCUCAACAUUUAGUAUGUUCAUGUUCUUGUAGAAUUGUCUCAGAUAAAGCCACUCACAUAUCUAACUCCUAAAAACCUCAGAAGUUUGCCUAACAGCCCUCGGAAGGAACCUCAGUUUAUAGGAGGUCUGUGUACCUGGAGGAGGGUGGGCUGGGAUGAGAGGGAGUCAGACCUCUGCAAUUUCCAGUAUUUUAUUUGAAGACAGUCCAGAGGCUUAAAGGGUCUGAAGGAUGCAUUAUUACUGGGAAUCCAGGGUCUGGUGAAAGCUAGAAAGCUGUUAUCUAAGCAAAGGGGAGUUUAAGAUUAGAAACUGAAUUUCCCAGCCUUGCCUGUGCUCUAGAAACAAUGGGGCUGGGUGCGGUGGCUCACUCCUGUAAUCCGAGAACUUUGGGAGGUCGAGGCGGGCAGAUCUCUCGAGGGCAGGAGUUCAAUACCAGCCUGGCCAACAUGGUAAAACCCAGU